rnacentral:lncRNA from 1 species
GUACAAGUCCAGGCGUGGACGAGUGUGCUUAGAGAUACUGGUGUCUUCUUUUUCUCUGUUGCUAUCUUGUUUUUGUUUGUGGUUUUUGUCAUGAGACACAGACACUGUAUGUCAGAGGUCUGGUUUUGGUCCCAAGGAGUUGACUGAUUAUCUUGGUUUGGUUUUAGGCCGGUCUCAGGUUCUGGGGCCUUCCCAUGGAGACAGGUCCAUUUGGGUUGGUCAUAGUGACAGUAAGCUUCUCUGGAAAUCGCAUGUAAGAUGCCCUGUAUUGGUCUUGCUUGUGUUUGUCAUUUCUGUGGUACUGUGAUUCUAUAGUGGUUGCCUGAAAAACGGUUUCUGUGUGUGUCUUUUUUGUCUCUUUGUGUUCGGACUUGGACUGAUGACUGACGACUGUUUUUAAGUUAUGCCUUCUGAAAUAAGCCUAAAAAUCCUGUCAGAUCCCUAUGCUGACCACUUCCUUUCAGAUCAACAGCUGCCCUGCCUCCCACUCCAACUCCAGAGAGCAGCCAGCGGGUCACAGUGGUCCCGUCCAUGGACCUGGAGCCUAGGGGGAAAAUGAGCUUAAAAAUCCGGAGCAAAAGAGGGGUGGUCCCUGAGAAGUCAGUGGCCUGAAUGUUGUGGCUGCUG